rnacentral:rRNA from 1 species
AUGGCAGGUCCGUUCGCUCACGGAUUUUCUCAAGAGAUAAUGCGGGUGUCCUCCUUGCUUAAGCACCAGCCUGAUGGGGACUUUGAGAGGUUGCCGCCGAUGGCGCGUCCAAACCAGAUGCAUCAUCAUCAGUCGCCCCCAAUGCCUAAUUUUCGUGGAAAUGGUUUUGGCCCGUGGAACCACGGGGCGCAUCCAGAGAGGGUAGGUUUUCCUCAAGGACACGUGGGUUGGCAAGGAGCACCACAAAGCCCCUCUCCAUACAUUGUCAAGAAGAUUUUGCGGUUGGAGAUACCAACAGAUACUUACCCUAAUUUCAAUUUUAUUGGCCGUCUUCUUGGGCCAAGGGGAAACUUGUUGAAGAGGAUUGAAGCCACUACGGGUUGUCGUGUUUUUAUCAGAGGGAAGGGCUCAAUUAAAGAUCCUGGGAAGGAACCUACCACGCGCGCCGAGGUGAGGGCCUCGUGGACUCCGUCCAUCGCCGCAAGCCGACGACCCCGCCGCUUGGCCGAGAACCUCGUGAUGUAUCAAUUAUUUCUCAGCUUGGCGCAUGCAUUACGGCAGUACGCCGCGCGCAGUUUCCUUGGAUUCUAUUCCAUCUCCUCUCGUCCGCUUCCUCUAAUUGUGAGUUUUGGCUGUAAUGCGUUUUACAGAUUCCCAUCUACUGUACUUCCUAUGUAG